rnacentral:lncRNA from 1 species
CCAUUUUAACCCUAGUGAAUUAUUUUUCUUGAUUUGCCACUAUAUAUAUGAAACAAAUUUUUGAGUGAUGUUGUACAUACAUAGUUAAAAUUUAUAAUUUGUAAUCCAAAUGAUAAGGUAUAAUAACAUGUCAUCAUUUGGUAGGUGGUGGUAUUAUCAUACUAAUGACGAAAAACAAAGUCAACAUAUGUAUAUUAAUUAAUAAUUAAUGACACGUGAAUUGGGAUCUAAAUUAUGUAUCAUAAUUAUGUGAUUCUAGUAUUUUUGUAAAUUUCUGGGCAUUAAUUUAAGUCUUUAUAUAGCUACACCCUUAUUAUUGAAUUUAAUUUUAUGAAAGAGUUACAAGCAAUAUUGUCCACAAAUUGAUGGGCAGUUUUCAGGAUUGUCAAGUGUUGUGUUACGUAUAUUAUCACUUCUUGUUGUUUUUCUUAAGGGUGAAGGUAUUUGCACUUUAAAAUUUAGGGUGAAGCUAUUUGCACUUUAAAAUUUAUUUUGAACACUCUUAUUUUAAUAAAAUAAUUUACUACAAAAUUACUCAUCGUAUAAAUUACUAUUAAGGAUAAUUUAUUUAUGAGCCAGUACAAUUUAAUUACUUUAAACACUCAUAUAAUACACUCAUUGUUUAACAUAUAACCUUUUAUAUCUAACAUCUUAAAAAAUAAUUCAUUGAACAUGCGGCAAAUCAAUAUUUUAAAUAAUUUUGAAGACAAAAUAUUUGUAAGAGUUACAUUUUUCAAG